AUUGAACGCUGGCGGCAGGCCUAACACAUGCAAGUCGAACGAGUGGCGGACGGGUGAGUAAUGUCUGGGAAACUGCCCGAUGGAGGGGGAUAACUACUGGAAACGGUAGCUAAUACCGCAUACCAUCGGAUGUGCCCAGAUUGGAUUAGCUAGUAGGUGGGGUAACGGCUCACCAAGGCGCCGAUCCCUAGCUGGUCUGAGAGGAUGACCGGCCACAUUGGAACUGAGACACGGUCCAGACUCCUACGGGAGGCAGCAGUGGGGAAUAUUGCACAAUGGGCGAAAGCCUGAUGCAGCCAUGCCGCGUGUAUGAAGAAGGCUUUCGGGUUGUAAAGUACUUUCAGCGGGGAGGCGGUACCUGCAGAAGAAGCCCCGGCUAACUCCGUGCCAGCAGCCGCGGUAAUUC
rnacentral:rRNA from 1 species